UACGUAGGGUGCAAGCGUUAAUCGGAAUUACUGGGCGUAAAGCGUGCGCAGGCGGUUCGGAAAGAAAGAUGUGAAAUCCCAGGGCUUAACCUUGGAACUGCAUUUUUAACUGCCGGGCUAGAGUAUGUCAGAGGGGGGUAGAAUUCCACGUGUAGCAGUGAAAUGCGUAGAGAUGUGGAGGAAUACCGAUGGCGAAGGCAGCCCCCUGGGAUAAUACUGACGCUCAUGCACGAAAGGCGUGGGGAGCAAACAGGAU
rnacentral:rRNA from 1 species